UAAGGAAUAUUGGUCAAUGGGCGAAAGCCUGAACCAGCCAUCCAGCGUGCAGGAAGAAGGCCCUAUGGGUUGUAAACUGCUUUUAUCAGGGAAGAAACCUCUGGAUUUACUCCGGAGCUGACGGUACCUGAAGAAUAAGCACCGGCUAACUCCGUGCCAGCAGCCGCGGUAAUACGGAGGGUGCGAGCGUUAUCCGGAAUUACUGGGUUUAAAGGGUGCGUAGGCGGCUUUGUAAGUCAGGAGUGAAAGUUUGCGGCUCAACCGUAAAAUUGCUUUUGAUACUGCAGAGCUAGAAUCAGGAUGAGGUUAGCGGAAUGUGGCAUGUAGCGGUGAAAUGCAUAGAUAUGCCAUAGAACACCAAUUGCGAAGGCAGCUGGCUAGACCUGCAUUGACGCUGAGG
rnacentral:rRNA from 1 species